CUACUGCUGAAGAGUCUCAAACUAGGACGAAACAGCUGUCCAGUAC
rfam:Trichobilharzia regenti genome assembly, scaffold: TRE_scaffold0000547